CCUACGGGUGGCAGCAGUGGGGAAUAUUGGACAAUGGGCGAAAGCCUGGUCCAGCCAUGCCGCGUGUGUGAAGAAGGCCUUCGGGUUGUAAAGCACUUUCAGUGGGGAAGAAAGCCUUGGGGCUAAUACCCUCGAGGAAGGACAUCACCCACAGAAGAAGCACCGGCUAACUCCGUGCCAGCAGCCGCGGUAAUACGGAGGGUGCGAGCGUUAAUCGGAAUUACUGGGCGUAAAGCGCGCGUAGGCGGUCUGAUAAGCCGGUUGUGAAAGCCCCGGGCUCAACCUGGGAACGGCAUCCGGAACUGUCAGGCUAGAGUGCAGGAGAGGAAGGUAGAAUUCCCGGUGUAGCGGUGAAAUGCGUAGAGAUCGGGAGGAAUACCAGUGGCGAAGGCGGUCUUCUGGACUGACACUGACGCUGAGGUGCGAAAGCGUGGGUAGCAAACAGGAUUAGAUACCCGGGUAGUC
rnacentral:rRNA from 1 species